ACUUUAGCUCAGCUGGUAGAGCAAUUGUUUCGUAAACAAUAGGUCGCAGGUUCAAACCCCGUAAGUGG
rnacentral:tRNA from 1 species